UCUAGGUAAAUUCUUCAUUACUGAGGUAAUCAAACUUUUCAACAAAUUGGUGUCCUAGGCCUGAAAUUUGGACUAUAUCACCCACUGAAUCUUAAUAAUGCAGCUAGCCAAAGUCAAAUAAUCUUCACCUAUUGCAUCGAACAUAAGGACUGCGAUUUAGUCAUCAACUAGCACAUAUUUGUACUCUCUCUUCUAAAAUAUCUGUUUGGUUAGAAAAGGUAUUGAAGACAUAUAUCUGAAGAAACUUUUGAACCCGGACAGGGUUUUUCACUUCCACAUUGGCGAAUUACAACUAGAUCACUAGCAAAAAAGAUAAACAGAACCAAAAAACCAACUAUCAAAGCCACAUAGCAACAAUCAAUAAAAAUACAAUCUUUACUCAUAUUUGCUUUCUCUGAGCUCCUGAAUAUCCUCCUUAGUCAAUGGCUCCCCAAGAACUCCUAUCUGGAGCUCACAUGCUUUGGCCCAGAACCGGAAAGAUAUGGUCCGAGCGCCUGUACCGGCUUCACGCCCUUUUAUGAGGCGACGACAGCUUAAACGAAUCGAACUCCGGCAGCUUCUUCUUGCUGGGAGGCAGCGGCCUCUGCCCCAGACUCGGCUUCGCCAUCGUUUCUAAUUAUUUCCUUGCAUUUUUAUUCAAUUUUCCUUGUGGGAUUUCUUUGAAAGGUGAUUGUGAUGGAAUCCCGGCAUCAAAUAAGCAGCUAUUUUCAUCUGGGCUUUUUGUCAAGCACUUGGUGGACUUCUUCUACGCGAUCUUUUCUUCACUAGAAAUAGGAGCUUUUGCUUCGUCUACGGCGUCGUUUUUCUUGAAAUCCGAUGUGUGUGAAAGAUUUAAGCUUUUUGUCAAGCGAGGAGUGGGGUUUUGAAAGCGGGUUUGGAGAUGUGAAGGGAGGCCGUCCUCGUUGAAACCGGGGCAGUUGACGGCGGCGACCUGCUCGAGAACGGUGGCGUCCAUCACCUGAGAUAAGAGCUCCUCCACCGCCUUGUCAUCGUCGCUAUCUGUGAAGAAAUCAGCCAUUGUUGGAGGAAGCGAGAAUGAAGAGCAAAUUUCGGCAGUUGCCGGUGGGGCUAGGGGCGGACCUGCAGUGGGAGAAAAGUAUUCGUCUCCUUCUCCAUUAUCAUGUUCUUAAAUUUUUAGUUGAGGCUAUAAUAAUAAAUUUUAGAAAUAUUUGAGUGGGGGUUAUAGAAAGUUUGAGGUUGUACGCAGUGUUCUUUGAAAAUCAAUUUUGAAAAUUUAUUAAUAUUGUAAAUUAUUAAAUGGGGCUAUGAGGGUAUAUUAGUACAAUCAUAAUUAUUUUUAUUAUUUUAUAAAAUAAGAGGCUAUAGUGAGAAAAUUGGGGGCUAUGUUUAAAAUUACCCUUUAAGGAAAUAAGUAAGCCCUUUUCUAAUUAAAUCCAGCCCAACAUUUCGGCCCACCUUAAGGAAUAAAUUCAGCCCAAGCAAGAGGCCCACCUCUUCUUUUUUAGUCAGGAACGGCUGAAAGGAUCAACACUCUCUUCUUCAUGCCAAAUUCGUCGCCGCCGCUGACUCUUUUAGCACCGGCGAACGGCCGCCUCCGCCACUCUGAAAUCCGGCGUUUCUUCUCUCAACUAUUGUCGCCAUUCCUUUCUCGCAUUCUCUCCCUGUUUCGCGAUCUCUCUCUCGAAAGUCGCCGCCUCUGAAAGCCGCGCCGCCGGCGACGGCCAUUUGGCGUCCUCAUCUUCCCUGCCGUCACGCCCUUCGUCCGUCCUCUUUUCUCGUGCUUUUCCUCCCGAUCCCCAAAUUUCAGAAAACACACAUUGUCAAUUGGAAACGAAACGGAGCCCUAAUCCUCUUCUCAAACUCAAUCUGCUACUUCGCCCAUCCGGUUCCGGCGAGGCCGCCGCUGUUAAGCAUUACAGCACCGCCGCGCUUUCCUUGGCCGGAAAUGGCCUCUCCGUUGAGCCCUAGCUCUACCUCCUGCCGACGCGGUUAGCCCUAGCCUCCCUCUCUUUUCCUCUCGGUUUAGGCGGAGUAACCUCUUCUGAGCCCGACGACCUCCGCCUUCUCUUCCUCGAGGUUGAGCCCGGGGCUCACCUCGGCUUCGGCAAAAGUCGUGGGCACUGUACGGCUCCGGCGAGGGGUACUCUCCCAUCUCUCCGAGCCUUCGAUGAGCGGCAGAACAGGGUCGUCGCGCCCUCUUCUUGAAGUCCAGGGGAGCAGGGCAGUCAGCCCCCUCCUUUUCCUCGCGGUUAGCGUCGACAUCAAACCGGCAUCCGUCCCCGUUCAAUGAAAAAUCAGACGAUGGGGACUCUUCAAGUUGGCAGAGCAGCAGCUUAAUGAAUUCUCCUCACUUUGGUGGCUGAAGAAACAGAGAAUGAAGGCAAGGAGUGUUGGCUAGUAGCCUUAAAGAAUCGAAGAUGGUGGAGGUGGUGGGUGACUGAGGAGAUGGCUGUCAUAGGGUGGCUGAUUGACACCUAUGUGUACCUUGGCAUGGUUAAAGGGAUGGGAGAGUGGCUUGAAGGCUGCUGUUGCAGCUAUUCUGCACACACAUACCACGUCCCCUUUCUUUCCCUUUUUUUGGUUUGCUUUCUUGAUGUAGUAGGUAGGAAAUAGGGAUGAAGGGAAUAGUAAGUUGUGAUGUGAUGAAUAAAAUCCUUCAGUGUUGGUCA